UACGAAGGGGGCUAGCGUUGCUCGGAAUCACUGGGCGUAAAGCGCACGUAGGCGGCUUUCUAAGACAGGGGUGAAAUCCUGGAGCUCAACUCCAGAACUGCCUUUGAUACUGGAAAGCUUGAGUUCGGGAGAGGUGAGUGGAACUGCGAGUGUAGAGGUGAAAUUCGUAGAUAUUCGCAAGAACACCAGUGGCGAAGGCGGCUCACUGGCCCGAUACUGACGCUGAGGUGCGAAAGCGUGGGGAGCAAACAGG
rnacentral:rRNA from 1 species